rnacentral:rRNA from 1 species
GACGGAGGAUGCAAGCGUUAUCCGGAAUGAUUGGGCGUAAAGCGUCCGCAGGUGGCAGUUCAAGUCUGCUGUCAAAGACCGGGGCUUAACUUCGGAAAGGCAGUGGAAACUACAUAGCUAGAGUAAGGUAGGGGUAGAGGGAAUUCCUGGUGUAGCGGUGAAAUGCGUAGAGAUCAGGAAGAACACCGGUGGCGAAAGCGCUCUGCUGGACCUUAACUGACACUGAGGGACGAAAGCUAGGGGAGCGAAUGGG